CAACAGCGUAUAUUAAAGUUGUUGCAGUUAAAACGCUCGUAGUCGGAUUUCGGGGCGGGCGGGCCGGUCUGCCGAUGGGUAUGCACUGGUCUGGCCGUCUUUCCUUCCGGAGACCGUGCGUGCUCUUAACUGAGUGCGCUCGGGAGACGGAUCGUUUACUUUGAAAAAAUCAGAGUGUUUCAAGCAGGCAGCUCGCUCCUGCAUGGAUUAGCAUGGGAUAAUGAAAUAGGACUUUGGUGCUAUUUUGUUGGUUUCGAACACCGAAGUAAUGAUUAACAGGGACAGUCAGGGGCACUCGUAUUCCGCCGAGAGAGGUGAAAUUCUCAGACCAGCGGAAGACGAACCACUGCGAAAGCAUUUGCCAGGGAUGUUUUCACUGA
rnacentral:rRNA from 1 species